GACGGAGGAUGCAAGUGUUGUCCGGAUUUAUUGGGCGUAAAGAGCGUGUAGGCGGCCAGGUAGGUCUGGUGUGAAAACUCGAGGCUUAACCUUGAGAUGUCAUCGGAAACCAUUUGGCUAGAGUCCGGAAGAGGAAAGUGGAAUUCCUGGUGUAGCGGUGAAAUGCGCAGAUAUCAGGAAGAACACCAAUGGCGAAAGCAGCUUUCUGGGACGGUACUGACGCUGAGACGCGAAAGCGUGGGGAGCGAACAGG
rnacentral:rRNA from 1 species